GGGUUUGUAUAUCUGUGGAAUGCCCAAGGUGGGAGAAAGAACUCUUGUCUGCUUGAGGAAACAGUUUGCGGAAUGUUGCAAUUGGCGAGAUUGAUUCACAUUGAACGGCCUUGCAGCUUCAGAGCCUGGCUGCUUCCUGUUAAAGUGGGCAUAGACAAAGUCAUUUCAUUUAUUUCUCAGCUGUUUGAUUACUAGAAUAUAACAAAUGUUCUCGGUAAGAUCUGCCCUAAACUCCAGAAAUCUAUUACAUUGUGGCUAACACUUUCACACAUCUUUGUUUUAUACUUCAUCUAUUAAGAGUAUCAUUGUGAUAUUUGUUGUUUUGUUAUUGCUUGUUUAGGACUUUGUUUCUCCUUUGUGAUAUAGUUUACCUUAUUUCUUUACCUUUUGUAUUUGCUGAAGUUACUAUGAUUCCAUAGUUUAUUCUUAAUUUUUAAAAAAACCAAACGCUUUUUGAAAAUCCAACAGUGUGUUAGCUGGCCCUGAUUGUUUCCUGUCUGGAAUUCCCCUGUUUUCUGAGGGUUGGUCUUUAUUUAUUGUCCUGAUUUUGGAGGAAACACAAAAAUACCCCAAAUACACACACUGAAAUGUACUAUACUCCAUAAAAGUUACAUACCAAAACGUAUCUCUAGGAAACACAUAUGAAAACAGACAAAGCAGAAAUUAAACAAAGGGCAUGCACUGAAAUUCAUGUUUGUUUAAAGACUGUCUGGGUUGGCUUUCUGGAAGAGACAGGGCUUCACUUGUGUAUUAAAUUUUGACCGACAAGUUGUUCCACAGCCUUGGGGCGGCUGAUGAAAAGAUCUUCUUGAAAUCGAGCAAUUUAAUACGGUCGCAGAUAGUGAAAUCCAGACCGUGGAUAGUAAGACCUGGUUAUCAAGAUUAGUUAGGCAGAUAACGAAACCCAGCAGAGCCACAGAGAGUGACUAUGACCCGAUGUUCUCCAAUAAAAAAAAUCUCACCAGUUAAAGAAGCCGCUACUGAGAAGUUUAUUCAGUCUGGCCAGAAAGGAUGACAGCUAGUGGUAAGCCACUCAAAGCUGACAUGUUUGAUACAAAUAAAACUGUACAGUCUUUUGUUUUUCCCGUUCACGCCCAGCUGGAGCCAGCUUCACACUGAUUUGCGGAGCCGGUCUUGGCAUCACAGCCAGCUGGGAGGAUUCCCUCUGUGAAGCAGGACUGUGGCACCAACCAGCCAAUCAGGGAGCAUUCCCCGCUUCUGAUGCAGAUUUCUGCUUUCCCAUAGCUGAGGGGGGGGGGGGGCAAGGUGACAAAAUAAUACAUGGUUCUUGAGUGAAUCAUUGUCUAUCUCGAGACAAACACAGCAGGGCCAACAGGUCCCUGAUUAUUAUGAGGUUGUCCUUUGUAUUGUGACGCAUCAAGGUGCCCAUGUCCAUUGUAGUCAAUGUCGGUAUUGGCCAGAGUGAUGAAAUUAUAGAAGCCAUCCUUGGGAAAGAGGAAAUGGCAUCUUGGAAAGUGGGGCAGGACCUCAGUAUCAAGGAAGAGUGCCAGUUGUUUUCGGACAGCACAGCGGGCCAGAUGUUGUAGUGGACGAGGCUGAUUCACCAGACCAAUGGCCGAGUCAUAGAACAGCUGGUGCUCCUGUCAAGAUGGAAAGAAACGAAGUAUGGACAACCCCUCUUACCCUGUUCAGGUGACCACACCAGUUCCUCGCUGAGGGUCUCAACAGUCAAGUUGGCGGUGGCUUCGUCCUUAAAAAUGCUUCGGAUUCUUGCCAAGUCUCCCGUGUACAAAGCAUUGUGGACAGCAGGAUCCCGGCAGUACUGAGGCCGCCGGGUGGGCUUGGGGAGGGAAAGGAGAGUCCUGGCAACUGGCUGGUACCUUCGACUGGCAGACUGGCGAGAUGCAGCCCUCCGCCGGUCUUCCCAAUCAAGCCACUCCCGUUGCAAACGCAGGGAGCGUAGCGUAGAAGAGGUGAAUGCAAAUGUUUCUUUUGACAUGUUCCCAAAUGAGAAGGAAUUCCCAGUUUUUUUUUAACAGCAGCCUAACAAAUCCACUCCAAAGUGUAAACGAUUUGAGGAGAAAGUCCCUGGAUCUCAAUCUCUCAUAUGCAAAAAACCCACAUGUGUUAAUUGGGAGACAAUCCAGCUUUCCUUGGACUGACUAUAAAUAGAAAUGAACUGUCAUCAUAGUAGCACAAACAUUCACUCUCUCAGCAGUGUCAUUUUCCUUUCUGGAUCUCAGAUCUCAGAGCAAUUAACACAUUGGAAGAUCUGAAGGAGGGUAAGCUAAGGACAAUAAAGCAAAGAAAUAAGGAUGCUGGGGGAGUUCUUCUUCCACAGGUCACCUUCCCAGUAGUCCAAGCUAUCUUAUCAGUAAUGCCUACUAACUGAAGUCAAGAAAAAGAAACACAGGCAUUAUUUUUCCUUUAGAAAUUUAGUACACAAACCAAACUCCAAUUGACACUCCUGACCAUAGAAGACUCGCAGAAUCAAUUGUUGUAUAGUUAGCUUACAUUUGGAGCCUAAAUUCACUAAAGCUCUAUCUGAUCUUAAAAGUUAAGCAGGGUCGGCCCUGGUUAGUACAUGGAUGGGGAACAUGUAACAAAGACCAAGUGCUAUAGGCUAUAUUUCAGAGGAAGGAACUAGCCAAAAAAAAAAACAACCUUAUAAGUGUACGGUAUAAGGUAUAUAUGAAAUAUUCCAGAAUUUAAUGUUUUAAUUUGGGUUCCAGUUCCAUGAUCUCAUUAUGCAUAUACAGUAGAGUCUCACUAAUCCAAGCUAAACGGGCCGGCAGAAGCUUGGAUAAGCGAAUAUCUUGGAUUAUAAGGACUGAUCAAGGAAAAGCCUAUUAAACAUCAAAUUAGGUUAUGGUUUUACAAAUUAAGCACCAAAACGUCAUGUUAUACAACAAAUUUGACAGAAAAAGUAGUUCAAUACGCAGUAAUGUUAUGUUGUAAUUACUGUAUUUAUGAAUUUAGCACCAAAAUAUCACGAUAUAUUGGAAACAUUGACUACAAAAAUGGCUUGGAUUAUCCAGAGGCUUGGAUAAGCGAGGCUUGGAUUAGUGACACUACUGUAUAUGCAAAAACUGGUAUUUAAAAAAGACUAACCCAAAAACAUUUCUGGUUAGAAUUUUGGAUAAAGGAUACUCAGUGUAACCAUGUAUGCAUAAAAUUUUACUCACAUACUCUCUCUCUCUCUCUCUCUCUAUAUAUAUAUAUAUAUAUAUAUAUAUAUCCCAUUUUUAUUUACGUUUGUUCUGUAUGGGGCUAGCCAACUGGAUUUUGGUCACAAGGCAGCAGAAAGAGCUGCAACACCUAGUUACAGACCAUCCUUCUACAAUUGGGGAUUUUUCUAGAGAACUUUAUUUAAGAUCAAUUAGCACUCCUUUUCUAAGAGGGAUGUGAAUGCUCAUUGACCUAAAAGAGCCAUCAUGAUGAUCUUUACAUAUGCCCUGAGAUAUAUAUAGAAACAAGCUGGCCCUAAGAUAACAUACACAACUUUAUUCCUGUUCCUGCAAAGAAUUCUAAAGCUAGGACUUGACUUAAAUGAAACCUUAUGGAUGUCUUACUUCACAAGGGUUCUGUAGGUUGGUAAUGCAUAGUGAAAUGAGACAAGAAAUGGAGAAAAUAAACUAUUUUUGAAGAUUUAA